UACGGAGGGUGCGAGCGUUGUCCGGAAUCAUUGGGCGUAAAGGGCGCGUAGGUGGCCCGGUCAGUCUUUGGUGAAAGCGCGGGGCUCAACCCUGCGUCGGCCAGGGAUACUGCCGCGGCUCGAGCACUGUAGAGGCAGGCGGAAUUCCGGGUGUAGCGGUGGAAUGCGUAGAGAUCCGGAAGAACACCGGUGGCGAAGGCGGCCUGCUGGGCAGUUUUGUUGACACUGAGGCGCGACAGCGUGGGGAGCAAACAGG
rnacentral:rRNA from 1 species